GCCGGGCGUUGUGGCGGGCGCCUGUGGUCCCAGCUACUUGGGAGGCGGAGGCAGGAGACUCGCUUGAGCCCAGGAGUUGGAGGUUGCUGUGAGCUGUAAUGCCAUGGCACUCUGCCCAGGGGGACAGCUUGAGGCUCUGUCUCAAAAAAAAAAAAAAAAAAAAAAAAGAAAAGCAAUAGAAGCGCAUUGGGUUUUUUUGUAGAGACAGAGUCUCAUUUUAUUGCCCUCGGUAGAGUGCCGUGGCAUCACACAGCUCACAGCAACCUCCAACUCCUAGUCUUAGG
rnacentral:sRNA from 1 species